AGUGCGGACACCUGAUCGGCAUAGUGCACUACAGCCCAGAACUUCUGGGCUCAAGCGAUCCUCCAGCCUCAGCCACCCGAGAAGUCACCAUAUUGAUGCUGAAA